CCCUACGGGGCGCAGCAGUCGGUUCCACGGUGGGUGCUUCGGUGGCCGGAACCAUCGUGGGUGCUUCGGUCGGUGUUGCUGCCGGGGCACAUCCGGUCAGCAAUGCCGGGGCAACCAGCAUUACUGCAACAACUGUAAAUAUUACUUUCUUCAUGCUUCCCAUACAAUCCUCCUUAUCAGAUUGAUUGGAUUAGCUUACCAAUUUAAUAUAUACCAAUGAAUUUUUAAAAGCAAGUUAAAUGCUGCUUUUGCCCAGUUGAUUGGAAAUAUUUAAGAAAAAAGAGCGAAUGAUAUAAUCUUAAGAGUAUGGAAAACUCCAAUAAAUCCCGUU
rnacentral:rRNA from 1 species